GAAAUAUUUUUGUGUUGGUUAAAAGUUGAAAUUGAUGGUGGUGUGAUGGCCAUGAGCAUUAAUCCUAUGAAAGUUCUGGAUCUCGAAGAUUGAAUGGGACACCACACACUUCUUCCUUUUCUUUUCCUAACGAACGGUGCUGUGCGUUGCAGAAUCGUCACAAUAAACAGCAACUCCGUGAUGAACAGUAAUUUCACGAACAAUAUUUUAAAAAAAAAUCCAAGAUCUGCUACUAACUAAGAGACUAAUGAUAAACCUAAAGCUCUGAUAAAUCGAAAGAUAAAAAAAAUGUAAAAAGAUAGAUUUUUUCCUGUCUCUACAAAGAAUCAACCACCCCGCAAGAUGUUUUGAGGUUAUUCCGCAGAAUUCCUCAAUUCCGAAACAAAUGACAUUAAACUCACAAUACGAAGAAUCUCAUUAAACAAUAAUUCAAUAUUUUUUCUUAUCCUCUAUGGUGAUUACAUUUAUAUAAAGAGAAUAAUAUUUCGGCACCAAUAAAAG
rnacentral:lncRNA from 1 species